CACUGUUGCUACAAAACUGGGACGUGGGCAGAAUGCAGUUGACGACCUCUCUUAUAUAAUAUAAACCCUUGCAACCAAAUAUCCACCUCCAUACAUCCUUCUGUUUGUUUGCAGUACAAUUCGCCUGUAACCUCCGUAUACAACCAACAGUUAUCGCCCAAUAUCUGAUUGAUAAUCAAGAAAUAUGGCGAUGUCGAGGGCGAGCUCUUGCUUUGCACACCCUUAUCGUUUCUUCACCGUUGUUGCUUAUGCGGGAUUUGGUGCUCCCCCAAUUCGUCACCCAAAGGGUCACCUCCAAAUUCUCAAUCGAAGUCGCUUAGUUACGUUACGCCCUUUGUGAGCAGCUCCAUCAUCAGAAAGGAAGUUCAAGAAGAUGAAGACCUUCAAUUAUCAAUGGCAGUUGCUCUACUCUUCUUCUCCUUCCUUCUCAGGGUUUAUCCUGCUAUAAUAUAAACGAGAUUGAUUCAUUUUGGCCUACAUUAUCGUCUUGAGUCUCUUGACUUUAAUCGUCUUUAUCACUGUCGGACUGGAUUCUGAUAACCAGUAGUCAUUGUCGAAGAACAAGGGCACCAAUUGAGGCCGACUUUGUAUCACCUCUGCCAAGAGUAUUAACGUUCACCACACAUGUCUCACCAGUUGAUGUCGGCGCCAUCUUGUGUUUGUUUGUAACUAGCAAUUGACCGCUUCUUCAAGAGCUUGCCAAGCACGGGGGCUAUCAACUACUUAUAACUAACUGAGCGAAUUAUUUGUAUGUCUACGGAAACUUUUGGGAAAAUCACAUACCAGGUUCUAGCAAAUGAUUGAGUGCAGUUUGUGUAUUUGUUCUACAAUCUGAUUACAAAAAACUAUCCAAUACCAUGACCAUCAGUUCUUAAAUUUUCAUAAUUCUAAUGUUGUUGAUAUUAAAGUAUAUUGAUAUAUUCUCACAUUUCUGGUGCAGGCCUGCCAUUAAGAUUGCUAAUGAAUUGAAUUCUCUAUACUUACUUGCUAACUAUAUUGAGGUUAAUUUUUUCGGUUGUUACUUUGCCUAUUAUUUUGUAGAUAUAUGUUGAGUUCAACAUUUAUAUUUAGGAUUUGUAGUCUCUGCAUUUAAAAUACAAAUGUAAUGUUCCUCUGCUGUUGAUGAAUCAUGUAAGUACACAAAAUGAGCCAACCAUGGUCAGGUAUCUUUCAUGUGAAGUUAAACAUUACACAUUUAUCUUUAUUUUGUUGCAGGCGCUAAUUGAUUAUAUUAAAAGUGUCUUUGACAUCAAUGUUCACUGAGAACAUUACACACGCUGAACGGGUUCGGGUCAGUUUCAGGUUGAACCCGCGAACCCGUUUAGGUUAACGAGUCGGGUUCGGGUCAACCUGGUCGGGUUAGCGGGUUGAUCCAUUUAACACAUUUAUAUUAUAUUUUUAUACAAUAUGUUUUGUGUCAUAAAUUAAAUUAAAUGGGGUAUGUUUUUAUUCCAUAAUUAUUACUUAAAAAGAGAAACUAAUAUAAGAUUUUGUAAUUUAAAUAUAACUGUGUUACAUACAUUUGUGUUUUUUAAUUAAAAUUUAAUUUUAAUAUAGUUAUUUCAGAAAAUAAAAUAAAAAAAAAUUCGGGUUAAACAGGUUGUGUUCGGGACUUCGGGUUAACCCGCGAAAUUUCAGGGUCGUGUUCGGGGUCAUAUGAAUGAUACGAUUUUUGGGUUCGGGUUCGUGUAAAAUUUUCGGGUUCGGGUCGGGUUAAACCCGCUAACCGGCAAACCCGACCCAUUUAGCACCCCUAAUUGAAGGUUUGAACCAUUCCUUAUUAAUAUUCUUUUAGCCCAAUCUUCUGAGGCUCUCAAAUUGGCAAUAUGGACAGGCAUGCGGGCUGAGUGACAGCUCCAAUCAAGCCCGGGUCAAAACAUAUCAUACUAGGCAGUUCAUUCAGGUGCAUAUAUUGAGUCUGCAAUAACAAAAUGCAUGGGCGAUAAAUCAUCUUCGGGUUUUUAUCCUCAGUAAUGUCAAUUCUUUCUUUAAUUCCAUUAUUUCUAUUCAACUCACUAAGUUCUAUACAGGAACUCCUUCAAUGUAUUCUGUCAUAAUAUAUGUGCAAAAUGUGGACAGAUAGAAGCGUCCGUUGACAAUGAUAUUGUUCUUUGUGAUGGUUUGUGUGAAGUUGAUACCGUCAAUUUUGUUUGGAUCUACCUCUAUUGAAAGCGCAAGAUUUUACUUUUGAAUCCAGACGAUCUUGGUUAUAUGAACAAUGAAGUAGCAUCAACAUAAGAUAAGGGCUUGAUAUGCCUGGAGAUAAACAAGAGUUACCAGAUUUGCAUAUGACCCCAUAACUGCAAAGAGAAAUGUUGAGAGACUAGAGUACAAAACACUGUAUGAGGUGAGUUUUCACCUUUAUAAAGUUUGGUUGAGUUGGGUUGGGUUGGGUUGUAUUUGAUCUUAAUCAGUCCAAUUUAAAAGAUUAAAACUAGCUCAAACGUAUUGAGUAAAAGAAAAGCUCAAAUGGGCUGAAAGUGGCAUCAGAAAUGGGAAAUGGGGAGACACAGUGGCAGAUCUAGGGGGUUCCUAGGUUCCCAGGAACCCCCUCGGUUUGGAAAAAAAGUAGUGGAAACCUUGGAUGAUUUAGGAUAAAUUAGUGAGAAUCUACCAAAAGGAUACCCCUGGAAAAUCCGCCACUAGGGAGGCAACAACAACAUGGGGUUGAGAUGGUUUUUCAAUCACAAUCAAGCUUCUUCGAGUUCUAUUACCGGAGGGAAACGUGAAAAACCCGACAAUGGAUGGGAAUUAUUCCCUAUGAACUACAAGCAUCAACAACCACCAUGGCAAUAGAGGUUCGUUCAUGUUGUUACUAUACAAUACAUCAACGUAACCCGUCCACCGGACGGGUAUUCAAGCCUGCAAAACUUAUGCAAAAAAGGAAAUAUAUGAGUUAGCAACUAAUGCAUCAACUUAUCAAGAAUUAUUGAUGAUGCUUUGUCCUUAAGCUGAUAUUUAGAGAGGUUACUUAAUAUGAAAGAAGAGGCCUUCUUUGUGUUGGGGAAACAUAAAGAUACGGUUCAAUUGUGAGGCGAAAUCUAGAUUCAUUCGAAAAGAAGUUUGCAACUGACUCAAAGUUUUGGAGGUGGAACCUGAUGUAAAAAUCUUACUUUCCCCUGGAUAGGCUUGAGAUAGCUCUUAACUUCAUUGAGAACAUGAGCAGUUGAGAUCUACUCCAAACAAAUAAUGCACAUUAUUUUAUUUUUAUAGUUCUUUCAAAGACUAUCGGUUGACUUUAUCAAAAAAGAACUUCUUUGUAGUCAAGUAUCAUGCGUGUUAGUCUUUUUUAAUCAAUCCAUCUUUAUGCC